UUUGGAACGAUUCAGGAUGUUCAGUGAAUUUUGUCCACUUGAAGGUAAAUGUUGGUGUGCAAAAAAUGUCGUGAGCAAAGGGAUCAAACUUGAGAAACGAGUGGCAAAUAUAUCUUGGAGUGAACCGGAAAACUUCACUUGUCCUCAUAAAUACAUAAAAGAAGGAGAGGAAAAGCCGAACAUUAGUUCUCCACAGUCGUUCUCAAUAGGACAGCACGAAAUUCCGUACAAGCACUUUCUGUAUGGUGGAAAAACUUCAACAUGCUAUGUUCAUAUUAACGUUGGAGUGCCACCAUCCAUCAGCAGAAGAAAUAGUGAAUAUUUUACAGCAGGACUCAACACUGAAGGCGAGAUUAAAUGUAUGAUAAGAUGGUCUGAUCCAAGACCAAAGAUAACUUGGGAUCAACAGAUUGUUAGCAACAAUGAACCUGUCUCGAAUAACUGGAUCCCUUCACAGUAUAAGUCUUCGUUUGAAAAAACAAACGACAAUAUGAAAGUGUUUUAAAGAUACCCGCGACUGCUAAACAAGCUUCAAUAUUGUUCAGAUGUUUUGCUCAAAACAUUCAUGGAAAUGACAGUAGAAUGUUUAGGUUUCUGCGAUUCGGAGAUGAUCCCUUUAAUGUUUUUCCUUCUGGGGAUGUAAUUUUAAAUGAAAACGAGGACUUUAUGGUAAUUUGCA